rnacentral:miRNA from 1 species
GUUUAAAAAUAGGUCUGUCAUGUUCAUUUUAUAUAUCCCCCUUCCCCACCCCAUCAUUUCUGACCAGUGUAUAUCUCAUACACCUAUGUACAGAGAUAUACACUGGUCAGCAAUGAUGGGGUGGGGAAGGGGGAUAUAUAAAAUGUACAUGACAGACCUAGAGGGGGG